rnacentral:lncRNA from 1 species
AGGAACAACUGCCUGUGAGCCUUGAACAAGCUACUUCCAUUUUCUGGCUCUUUAGUCUCCUCAUUUGUAAAAUGAGGGGGCUGGAGUAAGUAAGCUCUAUAAGGCUCUCAGCUGUGACAUCUAUGCAUAAUCACAGAAGAUCGAAGUGUACAGAACACCAUGGAAACUGAAGAGAGAUUCUGAAAGGAGGCUUUAAGAGGUCACUUGCAUCCAAUGCUGCAGAAGUGUCAGAGACUGAGGACUUAAAUGAAGCCACUGAUUAGCAAUUUAAAGAUCCUCUCCAAGACAGGGUCUCACUGAGUGCAGCGGCACGAUCUUGGCUCACUGCAACCUCCGCCUCCCAGGUCCAAGCGAUUCUCCUGCCUCAGCCUCCUGAGUAGCUGGCAUUACAGGUAUGAACCAUCAUGCCCAGCUAAUUUUUGUGAUUUUAGUAGAGACAGGGUUUCACCAUGUUGACCAGGCUGGUCUGGAACUCCUGACCUCAAGUGAUCCGUCUGCCUCGGCCUCCUAAAGUGCUGGGAUUACAGGCAUGAGCCACCGUGCCUGGCCGCUUUCUGCAUUUUUAGUGUCACUCAACCCUUGUUGUCUCUGAUUGUCAAGGCAACGACUACGUGUAAAGUAAUGUGGACAGAGUCUUGGACAGAGAAAUGCCUCAGAAAUGUUUUGUGAUGAAGAUGAAGGAGAGGCGCUGGAAGCAGAAACUGGGGAGGGGGUAGGAUUCGUGUCUCCACUUACUCUCCACCC